rnacentral:sRNA from 1 species
UUUUAUCCUCACUUUAGAGAUGAAGGAACUGAGGCACAGAGGUUAACUUGUCCAAGCAGGUACACUUAGGAGGUGCCAAAGCCAAGAUGCCAACCCAGCUGGGGCCCCAGCAGUAACCCCCUACUGCCCAGAGCCCAGCAUCAAAAACUUUUUGACUCUUUUCUCUCUUUUCCCUCUUAGUACAACUAUGACAAGAGCAUUGUGGACAGUGGCACCACCAACCUUCGUUUGCCCAAGAAAGUGUUUGAAGCUGCAGUCAAAUCCAUCAAGGCAGCCUCCUCCACGGAGAAGUUCCCUGAUGGUUUCUGGCUAGGAGAGCAGCUGGUGUGCUGGCAAGCGGGCACCACCCCUUGGAACAUUUUCCCAGUCAUCUCACUCUACCUAAUGGGUGAGGUUACCAACCAGUCCUUCCGCAUCACCAUCCUUCCGCAGCAAUACCUGCGGCCAGUGGAAGAUGUGGCCACGUCCCAAGACGACUGUUAUAAGUUUGCCAUCUCACAGUCAUCCACAGGCACUGUUAUGGGAGCUGUUAUCAUGGAGGGCUUCUACGUUGUCUUUGAUCGGGCCCGAAAACGAAUUGGCUUUGCUG